rnacentral:tRNA from 1 species
GCUGGCGUAGCUCAACGGUAGAGCACCUGAUUUGUAAUCAGGUGGUUGCGGGUUCGAAUCCCAUCGCCAGCU